rnacentral:rRNA from 1 species
CCUACGGGAGGCAGCAGUGAGGAAUAUUGGUCAAUGGACGAGAGUCUGAACCAGCCAAGUAGCGUGAAGGAUGACUGCCCUAUGGGUUGUAAACUUCUUUUAUAUGGGAAUAAAACGUUCCACGUGUGGGAUUUUGUAUGUACCAUAUGAAUAAGGAUCGGCUAACUCCGUGCCAGCAGCCGCGGUAAUACGGAGGAUCCGAGCGUUAUCCGGAUUUAUUGGGUUUAAAGGGAGCGUAGGUGGAUUGUUAAGUCAGUUGUGAAAGUUUGCGGCUCAACCGUAAAAUUGCAGUUGAAACUGGCAGUCUUGAGUACAGUAGAGGUGGGCGGAAUUCGUGGUGUAGCGGUGAAAUGCUUAGAUAUCACGAAGAAAUCCGAUUGCGAAGGCAGUUCACUGGACUGCAACUGACACUGAGGCUCGAAAGUGUGGGUAUCAAACAGGAUUAGAUACCCUAGUAGUC